rnacentral:rRNA from 1 species
CACGAACGCUGGCGGCAGGCUUAACACAUGCAAGUCGAGCGCCCCGCAAGGGGAGCGGCAGACGGGUGAGUAACGCGUGGGAAUCUACCCAUCUCUACGGAAUAACGCAUGGAAACGUGUGCUAAUACCGUAUACGUCCUUCGGGAGAAAGAUUUAUCGGAGAUGGAUGAGCCCGCGUUGGAUUAGCUAGGUGGUGGGGUAAAGGCCUACCAAGGCGACGAUCCAUAGCUGGGCUGAGAGGAUGAGCAGCCACACUGGGACUGAGACACGGCCCGGACUACUGCGGGAGGCAGCAGUGGGGAAUAUUGCACAGUGGGCGCAAGCCUGAUGCAGCCAUGCCGCGUGAGUGAUGAAGGCCCGAGGGUUGUAAAGCUCUUUCACCGGUGAAGAUAAUGACGGUAACCGGAGAAGAAGCCCCGGCUAACUUCGUGCCAGCCGCCGCAGUAAAAC